rnacentral:rRNA from 1 species
UACGUAGGGUGCGAGCGUUGUCCGGAAUUAUUGGGCGUAAAGGGCUCGUAGGCGGUUUGUCGCGUCGGGAGUGAAAACACACAGCUUAACUGUGUGCUUGCUUCCGAUACGGGCAGACUAGAGGUAUGCAGGGGAGAACGGAAUUCCUGGUGUAGCGGUGAAAUGCGCAGAUAUCAGGAGGAACACCAAUUGCGAAGGCAGCUCGCUGGAACGUAACUGACGCUGAGACGCGAAAGCGUGGGGAGCAAACAGG